CAGUAGCCACGGUAAUACGGAGGGUGCAAGCGUUAUCCGGAUUCACUGGGUUUAAAGGGUGCGUAGGUGGGCAGGUAAGUCAGUGGUGAAAUCUCCGGGCUUAACCCGGAAACUGCCGUUGAUACUAUCUGUCUUGAAUAUAGUGGAGGUGAGCGGAAUAUGUCAUGUAGCGGUGAAAUGCUUAGAUAUGACAUAGAACACCCAUUGCGAAGGCAGCUCGCUACACUAUUAUUAACACUGAGGCACGAAAGCGUGGGGAUCAAACAGGAUUAGAUACCCCCGUAGUCCCUGUCUCUUAUAC
rnacentral:rRNA from 1 species